UACGUAGGGUGCGAGCGUUGUCCGGAAUUAUUGGGCGUAAAGAGCUCGUAGGCGGCUUGUCGCGUCGGAUGUGAAAGCCCGGGACUUAACCCCGGGUCUGCAUUCGAUACGGGCAGGCUAGAGUUCGGUAGGGGAGAUCGGAAUUCCUGGUGUAGCGGUGAAAUGCGUAGAUAUCAAGAGGAACACCUGAGGUGAAGACGGGUUGCUGGGCCGACACUGACGCUGAUAGCGCGAAAGCCAGGGGAGCAAACGGG
rnacentral:rRNA from 1 species